rnacentral:rRNA from 1 species
UACGUAGGGUGCGAGCGUUGUCCGGAAUUAUUGGGCGUAAAGAGCGCGCAGGCGGUCUGCCAAGUCAGAUGUGAAAGAGGCCGGCUUAACCGGCAAGGGUCAUUUCGAAACUGACAGACUAGAGUGCAGCAGAGGAUAGCGGAAUUCCCGGUGUAGUGGUGAAAUGCGUAGAGAUCGGGAGGAACACCGGUGGCGAAGGCGGUUCUCUGGGCCUUACCUGACACUGAGGAGCGAAAGCGUGGGGAGCGAACAGG